AUUUUUGGAUAAUCGCGUAGUAUUUUAAUACUAUGAGGAAAGUCCAUGCUAGCACCGGCUGUGAUGCCGGUAGUGUUUGUGCUAGGCGAAAAAAUAAGCUAGGGAUGUAGAAAUACAUUACGGCGGAAGAACGGGCUAAGUCUUAGAUAUGCUUUAGUAUUUCUGAAAGUGCCACAGUGACGUAGUUUUUAUGGAAACGUAAAAAAUGGAACGCGGUAAACCCCUCAAGCUAGCAACCCAAACUUUGGUCGGGGCAUGGAAUAGAUUGGAAUCAAGAACGAGCUAUUCUGACUGUUAUAACGGUAGACAGAUGAUUAUCGAAGGAAGUGAUACCUAGUCACUUCUGGAACAAAACAUGGCUUAUAGAA
rnacentral:RNase_P_RNA from 1 species